UACGUAGGGUGCGAGCGUUAAUCGGAAUUACUGGGCGUAAAGCGUGCGCAGGCGGUUCGUUAAGUUCGUUGUGAAAGCCCCGGGCUUAACCUGGGAACUGCGUUUGAAACUGGGAGACUUGAGUGUGGCAGAGGGGGGUGGAAUUCCACGUGUAGCGGUGAAAUGCGUAGAUAUCUGGAGGAACACCGGUGGCGAAGGCGGCAUCCUGGACCGGUAUUGACGCUGAGGCGCGAAAGCCAGGGGAGCCAAAG
rnacentral:rRNA from 1 species